GUGUCUGUGAGAAUAUCUUUCUUGGCAUCAGGAUUCAUCUGGAAAUGUGCAGAAUAAAUCAAACCAGAGAGAAGAAAUUUAUCUUCCUGAGGUUGACAAGCUGCCUGGCAUUGCACCUUGUCUGCUUUGUCUUAGCUUUAUUAAUUUGUAUUUUUCUUUUUCUUGGGCCUAACUCUGCACAUCACAUCCUCACACUGUCUCCUUGCCAGUCUGUCAAUCCUACAAAUUCUAGUUAACUUAUUUGGCAAGUUCAAUUCCACAGCCAAUUUAUAUGAAUGGCAUAACAUGGUCACAUUCCUGUUAACCCGAUGUUUUGUCCCUGUAGCCAUCUAUGAAAAUCACAUCCACAUGGUCAUCUGCCUUCCACGUAGCCACAGUAUUGGGUCCAAAGUGCUCCACAUUUAUAUGGUUGUCCUUCUCUAUGUUUGCGUUUCAUGUAGACUUAUUUAACAAUGUGGUUGUUUUCCCAGAGCUGACCACGUGGAAUAGCAUCAUGUUCUGCCACCUUGUGGCUACUCUGAUCACAUAAAACCCUAUUUUACUAUGUGCCAUGUUGGACCUCCAUAACGUGAUGGAAGUAUAUGGGAAUUCUAACAAUAUUUUCCAAGUAAAUUUGGAAUCUUUAUACUCUGUCAGCCAGAAAAACUUCUGUUUUUAAAUUUUGCCUCAUAAAUUUGUCUAGGUAAUGGUACCUCCUUGAAGGAAUCAGUAACAAAAUUAAAAUAGUAGCUGCCCUAUAUGUGUGUGACUCUUUUUGAACCACCAAAUAAAUAGAAAUAGAAAGAAUGUAAUGUUUGAAA